GAUGAACGCUGGCGGCGUGCCUAAUACAUGCAAGUCGAGCGAACGGACGAGAAGCUUGCUUCUCUGAUGUUAGCGGCGGACGGGUGAGUAACACGUGGAUAACCUACCUAUAAGACUGGGAUAACUUCGGGAAACCGGAGCUAAUACCGGAUAAUAUUUUGAACCGCAUGGUUCAAAAGUGAAAGACGGUCUUUCUGUCACUUAUAGAUGGAUCCGCGCUGCAUUAGCUAGUUGGUAAGGUAACGGCUUACCAAGGCAACGAUGCAUAGCCGACCUGAGAGGGUGAUCGGCCACACUGGAACUGAAACACGGUCCAGACUCCUACGGGAGGCAGCAGUAGGGAAUCUUCCGCAAUGGGCGAAAGCCUGACGGAGCAACGCCGCGUGAGUGAUGAAGGUCUUCGGAUCGUAAAACUCUGUUAUUAGGGAAGAACAUAUGUGUAAGUAACUGUGCACAUCGUGACGGUACCUAAUCAGAAAGCCACGGCUAACUACGUG
rnacentral:rRNA from 1 species